rnacentral:rRNA from 1 species
CGCCUCCUGCAAUAAAUAAGUAUGUGAGGUCCCGCCUGCCCAGUGACAACGUUUUCAACGGCCGCGGUAUCUUGACCGUGCAAAGGUAGCGUAAUCACUUGUCUUUUAAAUAAAGACCUGUAUGAAUGGCUAGACGAGGGCUUAACUGUCUCCCAUUUCAAGUCAGUGAAAUUGAUCUUCCCGUGCAGAAGCGGGAAUAAAUAUACAAGACGAGAAGACCCUUUGGAGCUUAAGGUAGGCAACAACCACGUCAAACAACUUAAUAAAAAGCAACCUAUUAAACCUAGUGAAAAUGCAACCCUACCUUCGGUUGGGGCGACCAUGGAGGAUAAAAGAGCCUCCAAGUGGAGUGGGAAAAAUCCCUAAAACCAAGAGAGACAUCUCUAAGGCACAGAACAUCUGACCAAACAUGAUCCGGCCCAUUAAGCCGACCAACGAACCAAGUUACCCUAGGGAUAACAGCGCAAUCCUCUCUAAGAGCCCAUAUCGACGAGGGGGUUUACGACCUCGAUGUUGGAUCAGGACAUCCUAAUGGUGCAGCCGCUAUUAAGGGUUCGUUUGUUCAACGAUUAAAGUCCU